ACCACUGCUGACAGUUGCGUUAUGCCAUCUGCAAUACAAACAACAAAAAAUCUCUAGUGACGAUCAGGAUAGAAUAUUAAAUCAAACGGUCCUGGAGCCUUUGAAUUCCCAGAGACUAUCUCGAGAAGCACCCCCAGCCGGUGAGUUUCCUCGAGCCUCUAACCGAAUUACUCACUAAUGAAUUGCCUGCCGAAUUUUUUCUCUGCUUUCUUCACUUUUAUCUCGUAGGACAGCGUCAUUGGUCUCAAUCAGGAUAUCACUUUCCGGAUGGAUCUUUUGUCUUUUUCUCUCGCUCCCUCAGAUCCAUGGAAACGUGAUUCCCCAGGUGACGGGACUAUUAUUUUAUAAAAUUUUAUUGCAUUCUUGUUGGGAACGAUCGUAAUUUCAUUUUCGCUUGCUCCCGAGAGGGUGCGGACACCAGAGCGUUGGUAAUUUGGGUUACUCCAACCACGCCGUUUGAACAAAAAUAAAAAAGGAAGAGGGAACGAGGACGAGGGAAAGAAAAAAAUGAGAUGAAAAAAUCCCGUGAUGAACCUUGCCAGGGGAGACAGCGAAUACGGUGAGGAACAGAGGCCAAUCGGCGCACACUGCGAACUAGGCUAGGUGGAUGGACUAUUUCCAAAACUUGAGAAUUCCAAUGAAGAACUGUUUAUUCCCUAUUUUGCACGAUCAAUUGGUUGAACGAAAGGGAAAAAAAAGAUGGGCAACAGAGAGGCUAUUUCUUUCGUCACGCUCCGUGGGCGUUCUAGUAUACAUCAAAGUGCCCAGCUCUUACGUGCACUACGACGGGCCGGGUCGGGUUGCAUCGCACGCGGCGCUCGAAUGUGUUUGACGAGCGAUCCAUCGAUGUGGCCCGAUGAAGUCCGACCCGGCCCGUCAGCCGAUGUGCGCUCUUCCAUUUGAGAUACAUAAAAGCGGUUAGAAAAAUGCGAUGCAACCCGGCUUGACCAGGUCCAGUGUCAGGCCAGAGCCGGUCGGAAAACCUCGAAUCGGGGUUGCGCUGCAUUUUCAUUGGGCAAAUCCCGACGAGAAAUUACGUCGUUAAGCAGCAGCAUGGGUCACUGGGAACUAAACCGAAAUUCAGGGGCUUUCUCUGUUUCCUUCGCAUUCUUUCUCUCGGCAACCAAAAGCGCCUAUUCAUGCGUGCGAACACAGAGCUCGCUGCGGAACACCAGAGAGAUGUUGUGUAUACAUUCACCCGUCGAUCGACUCGUAAUAAAAUUAUCGCCCCGCGUUAUUACCGUCAGACGGGUUUGGUUGCGUUUCAAAAAAUUCCAGUUCUCUUCUCGAGAGAUUUUUUUUUACACGUGCUCUCUGUAUCCUGGGAAUAUCACUUAUUCGACGGAUAUAUAAAUAUAAUGAAACGCAUUUUUUACCAAAGUAUCGGUCGCAGGUCACGCCUCGAAAUAAACAUUAAAUGAGGUUGCUGCAAGAGGCCCGCAUGUAAAAUAAUUCGUGCAUGCAUAGAUGGGAGUAUUCGAAUUGGCUAUCCAAGCGUAAAAAGCUGCCACAUAUAAAAAUCGAAGUGAAAAGUCGUUACAGGGGGAAAAAGAAACCGGAACGUGUCUCUCAGCUGUAACAAUGUAAAGGACCGAUACACGACCAGAGUGCAUUCGACGAGUGAACGAAUGAAUAAACCAUUGAAAAGGAAAGGAACAGUAAACAUAAUACGAAAAGUGACGGUAGCGUGAUCCGAAGAAGUGAGAACAUAAGCGUGAAAUUAUAAUUACACGAUCGCGAGAUAAUAGCAUGGACUCUGAGACCGGAUUGUACGUGAGGAUAAAAAAAAGGUUCGUCGAAUAACGAGCAAAUUAUUGUGAAUGACUUGCACCGCAGAUAUAAAUUGUUCGAGGAAUAACCUUGUGAAAUUUUU